GUUACACACGCGUGUAGAGUGGAAGGGUUGAGCGUGAGCAUAAAUACUCAACGGUGAAGGGCCAUUCAUGAAUAUGUCAUUCAAAAAUUCGUGAAGUGGGUUUAGAUCACUGAAAUAACUUCAGUGGGUUAGAUCGUUCAAAGGGGUGGCUCAGACCAAUCAAGAGAUUUUUGUAGUCUCGCAACGAACGAGGGGAUGAUUCAGAACCAUUCUUUCUUCAAAAGUUGAAGUGCUAAAUCGCUUUACAAUACACGAUCGCUCGGAUAUCAUCUUUACUGAGAAUAGUUGAUGCAGAAGCUACCGCUAUCACAUUAUCCAAAUUCAUGAAGUUCUGAUGGCAGUUACUAUUGAGUCUCUCGUUUAUCUAGUGAUCGUUGCUUUACUAUGGGGUGCUACUAAUCCGUUGAUUAAAAAAGGAUCCCAAGGCUUGGAUUCUGUGAAAGCGGCCACGCCAUGGGGUCAAUUUGCUAAAGAAAUUAUAUUUCUUGUCACAAAUUUAAAGUACAUAAUACCAUUUUUAUUCAAUCAAUGUGGUUCGGUACUAUACUUUUUGGCACUGCAAAAUGCAGACUUGUCCCUUGCUGUACCAGUUGCAAAUUCUCUAACAUUUGUUUUCACUGGUGUAACUGGAUGGAUCUUAGGUGAAGAAAAAUCACAUAUGAUCACCUAUGUUGGUAUGAUCCUGAUAUUAGCUGGGACAACGUUGUGUUGCCUAGACAAAUUGGAUGCUCCUGAGGAAACACUAAAUUAGUUCAAUCAAUUGGAGAACCAUCAAUGCUCAAUAUCAUAACUUGUCAAUAUGGCCAAUCGAAAUCUUGGACAAUCAACCCAGUAUAUUAGAUAUCUCAUCAUUUCGGAGACAGCAAUGGCAGCUCCAUGGCGACGUGUUCGGUAUCCGUCCAUUCCUGUGCGAGCCAGAACUACUGAGAGAGGAAGAUGUACGGUGGCACGUCCAAAGUUGUUGGUCCUGGUUAGGGGUAAUUAGUUCCCUGAAGCGCAGUCGCCACGUGAGCCAAUUUCCUCAUCUCCAGAUGAUCGCGCUCCAAGGUGUACGUACGUAUACAGCGCAGGAUAUACGUGUAUGUACCUUACGUGUAUAAAUAUACACGUAAGCGUAGGCCGUUAUAUGAAAAAAGUCGCGAGUAAGAGGAGCUAGUUGGCGUGGCGUCCGCCAUAGGAGAGCACUUAAAAUAAAUCGACAGAAGCAGCGCAGAAGCAACCACCAACGUUCACAAAUGACCGGCGGCAAGCUCCAGCUUUUACCCAACAUAACUCAACCAACUACGUACGGUUCAGGCUUCGAGAGCUUUGAGAAGAUACGCGCCGCGCAUUGGCGGACCUAAUGUUUCCCGACAUUAUGCUAAUUUUCUACCGUCGAACCUCGGAGAUGUUUGCCCACUCGAACGAACCCCCGCUCGCGGUAUCUACUUACAACCGAAGUCGGUCGUUCCUAGAGAACCGCUAACGACGCCCUAGUUUUCAUAUACGAGCCAGCCUACCGCGGAGCCUGCACCCCCUUUGCGGGGACCUCCCCAGAUUUCGUUACCCGCCAACUGUAACCGUAUCGAU
rnacentral:misc_RNA from 1 species